CAGGGACCAUAGAUUUGAUAUUACCUCACCAUUGCAACAUCAGCCUUGAUUUCCCUUUCUUGGCUGCAUUUAGGGGCUAGAUGCCAGCUCUUCAACAACUAUGUAAUGGAGACAAGAAAGUGAAGCCCAGAGAGCCCUACCACAGUUCAUGGAGCCUGCAGCAGACCGAAUGCUUGACGGUCAUCCUUUGCUACAAAUGACCUUUUAAUGGCAGGGGGAGGGCUCUUUUUAGGUGGUUGAUAGGGAAGAUGAUUGUUUUUACUUUCAGCAAACCAAUGGAGAAGAAAAGUCAGUCCACGUGAAAAGUGAGCCUAACUCUUCAAUGUCAAGAAGAAUUGAAGAGUGAAGAUCCUGUGGGACUCCAAUGGCUACAACUCCAUCCAGCCUCUGGUUGCUGGACUUUAUGUUUGGACUUGCGCUUUCUGCUUUCAGAACCUUGCCACCAGUAAGACCGGCCCAUGAGGAGGAUAUUUGUACAUUUCCAGAGUUAAAAUGCUAAGUGCUAUCCACAGGAGGAGCAUCUUUCUCCAGAGGAGACGCCUGCUUUGUUCUGGCGUUGCCCAAAGCUUCUCAAGCAAGUUCUGCAGUGAAAGACUCGCUCAGAGAGGGAAGCUGAUGGAGAUCAGUAACGAGCGCCAUAUAUCAGCCUGCACCGGCUGGCUCUUUCUCCCAUUGCUCAGUGGAAUGGGGGAAAGGUUUUCUCCUUGUUGGGCCCUUCAAAGACUCCAUAGGGCCCUCUUCUAUCAGGCUUUCCUCCUGAGGCCCCAGAAUGCCCUCCAGCUUGGUCCGUAG
rnacentral:lncRNA from 1 species